GCUCCUGUGUGUAACCGUGCAGCAGCUGCAGAAACCGACCCGUGGCAGCCUGCUCUCCUCAGGUACCACGCUUAAAUGGGGGCCAGCACUCAAACCCUUCCGUGGAUCUGGACUUCGAUGACCAUUUCCCAGUGAAUGCAUUUUUCCCUACAAACACUGGCUCCAAAUACACAUUUACUGCCGCUGCCUGUGAUGCUAUAGCUUGGGGAGCUGGGACUCACUACCAAAGACCAAAGCCUCUGUGUAAUUUGUCUUGGGACACAAGCUGUUGGCAGGGGGCUGCAUCCCCCCAAAUGCUGUUCGAUGCAGAGCAGUGAGCCUCAACUCGUGCUGGACUGGAGGUGCUCGAAUACUUGUGGCAGCUGGAGGAAUUGUUGUUUCCAGCCAGUUCCCUGCCGCUCUCUGGACUGAUGCUAUAGUGAGGAAAUCUGUGCACGCUGCAAGUCAUGAGAUGUACCGAGUUCUCCAUGUUGCCAGGGAAACAUCCAGUUUUAGGCACAGCCCUAAAUGUUCUUUUUUCUUAGUUUGCUCAGUCCCACCUCCCUCGUGGACUGUCCGUCCUGCUGCUGUUCGUGCGAACUGGGGUUGCUGCGAAAUCUGAAAGGGAAAACUGACUUUGGAGAUACUGGCAAAGAAGAAAUAUAAGAAGGAAAUGGGAAACAAAUAAGGAAAGAAUGGUGCAUUUCGGUUUUCUUUCCAUCUGAAGAUGGAGGGGUUUGCUUUGGUUUGAAUAUUGGUGCAUUUUGGGAUUUCCUGUGCAGGCAGGGGAUUGCAGGGACACUGUGGCCUCUGUCCAAGCCGCAGUAAGUCCCCAAGGAGACCCAAUGAGAUGGAGUUGAACUGGUCCAGAUGAUGCUGAGCACCAGAAGAAAGGGCCAUUUUUCUGUGUCACGUAUCUACGUGUGGCACUGCCUCUGUCCCUAUGCCAGGGCUCAGCCCGCCUUGGGCACAGCUUUAGAGCCCAGUUGUGUGGGGCCGCUACAGGGCACCUAAGCUGUGGCACAGCCUACUUUGGGGAAUUGAAAUGAGCUUCACGUUGAACCGAACCGGGGUUCUGCUGCCAAUUAAGUCAAUGACAAAGUGUUGGUUGGUUUCAGGCGUAAACAGGCUGACCCAAAAUUUACUGCUGUUAUGUCUUAUUUGCAUGAAGUUAACUACCUGUAUUUUCAGGUUCACCUAACUUUAUGGAGAUGGGCAUUAAGUCUGGCAACCCACUGCUACCUGAACUGCUGUCCAAAGGCUCUGUGGCAAGAUGCAUUUCAGGCGGAGUGGCCUCUGGAAGCACUGCUGUCCUGUCUGCAACUCCAAAGUGUUACCUCUUGCUCAGAGGUAAGUGGGGCGAGGGCUGGAAUCAGAGGUAGGCUGAGCAAUUGUUUAUCUAAACUCCAAGCUUGAUGCUACUGGAUUACUUCUGCAGCCUCUGAUCUGGGAGCAAGCUGUAAUCAUCGAACUGUGUGGGUCUGAGACUGUCAAAGGCGUGGAAAGAGAAACUGCUUUGGGCACCCUCACCGUUGGGUGGAAUGGGGUCGGAUAGGUGAUUGCCUUUUCUCUGCGGAGGAAAGAGAAACAAUGUCUUGCUUGCCUUACCCCUGCUAUUUAAGUCCUAGGGGUCCUGCCGGAUUGUACGUGACAAUGCAAAAGGAGCAGAAAUGCAUGUGAAAUGUCCUUUCCUAAUGUGGACAGAGCAGCUUGUCCCUGGGAUGAUGAUUGGUGGUUCUGUGAGUAGCUGGUGGGAAGCUGGCAUGGAUACUCGUUCACAGUUCUUCCCCAGAGGCUUCUUGACUGGGGCAGAAUGAAGAAUAAUAACAAGAAACGGAGCUACCACACAACUGGAUGUCCUGUCUAUACGAAUGGAACUGAUUACUGGCUGAAGCAGCAGGAGUCAUCAUCAAGCCCAUAAAGCUUCUUUUCUUUGUGCCUUAUCUGUUACUUUAACAUCUCCUUUGUGUGAGGAGAAGCACAGACGAGCACAGAAAUGAUGAAUUCUAUGCAGACUAUGUAAAUGUGUGUUGGUCUCAGAGCCCCAAAUAGGCACCAUCUUACUGACCAUGCAGCUCAUAAUUUAUAUGACCUUCUGUGCAUCCCGUCCUCAUGGUGCAAAGCAAUCUGUGCCACUCAGGAGACAAAUGCUGCAUCUAAGCAGCAAAUCUGUCUGGACAUAACUUUCCAGAUCUCAAGCCCAACUCACUGCUAUGUGGAAGACUAAAACCUGGAUCUUGCUCUGAGUGGACCUGAAACCUGCCAAGAUCAGGAUGUCAGAAGGGAGCCAUUCCUCCAAUUGGCUUUUGAGAUCAUCCCUCCAACUGGUGUGCACCUUAAGCUGUAAAGAAAGCAGUACUGUUGCACACACGAUGAAUAACAAUCUGAAGGAUCAAGAGGAUAAGCUGCGAAUGUUUUCACUUCAGAGAAAAUGUCUGAUUUGUUUGACUGCCCUUUAUCGGAGUUUCCAUACAAAAGGCAAACUCUCACAGGACAGUAGUGGCCUCAGAGAUGUGGUCUCUCUUCUGUGCAGCCUGCCCUUCACAGGAGCUACUGUGAGGAUCCUGGAGAAAAGCACAGAUGCUUCAGGAUUGAGAAGCGCAUUGUAUGACUGCAAAGAACGUUGCUCAGAAGCUGCUGUCUUGACAAUACCAUGAGACUGUCUUACAGGUGAAAAUUUCUAUAUUUAGAUGAUGUGAGUUGAGGAAGAUGGUCCCUGUGCUGGGAAACCUGUGCAUAGAAAAUACAUCCAUGGAUAUUAACUGUAUGUGACUACUAUCUGAUGAUGUUUUAAAAAUCAUCUGAAGCAUACCAGGAAGCUGAAGGCUUGCAGACUGCAGCAGAGAAGGAGAAUGACAGAUUGCCUGAGACAUGAAGGACUUUGGAAAGCUGGCAGAACCCAACCCUACUGGCACGCAUCUUGGUGGAGACAGAAACUCAGCCCAGUGCCAGGCUGACGCUGGAGGACAGGGACAAGCCACCUUUAGUUCUUAACUGCUGGCUCAGCUCUGCUUUGCAGUCGGCUUUGGCACAGUACAGAUGUGAUACAACUGCAUUACACACUACUGAACUAAGUUAUUCCCAGGUUGUUCUGGUUUCAUGGCUUAACCUCCAGGAAGAUCCCUUGAGGAAUGGAAUCCCCCAAACAUAAAUGAGCUGGAGGCCACACGCUCAUCCCACUUACUGUCUUACUGUUGAUCAUACUAUCGCUCCC